GACGAACGCUGGCGGCGUGCUUAACACAUGCAAGUCGAACGGAAAGGCCCUGCUUUUGUGGGGUUCUCGAGUGGCGAACGGGUGAGUAACACGUGAGUAACCUGCCCUUGACUUUGGGAUAACUUCAGGAAACUGGGGCUAAUACCGGAUAGGAUCUCCUGCUGCAUGGUGGGGGUUGGAAAGUUUCGGCGGUUGGGGAUGGACUCGCGGCUUAUCAGCUUGUUGGUGGGGUAGUGGCUUACCAAGGCUUUGACGGGUAGCCGGCCUGAGAGGGUGACCGGGCACCUUGGGACUGCGGUACGGCCCAGAAUCCUACGGGAGGCAGCAGUGGGGAACAUUGCACAAUGGGCGGAAGCGUGAUGCAGAAACGCCGCGUGCGGGAUGCCCGCUUUCGGGUUGUAAACCGCUUUCGCCUGUGACGAAGCGUGAGUGACGGUAAUGGGUAAAGAAGCAACGGCUAACUACGUG
rnacentral:rRNA from 1 species